rfam:Equus caballus chromosome 20, whole genome shotgun sequence.
ACAAAGGCUCUUUUCAGAGCCGCUCAUAUUGUCAAUGAAGACUGU